rnacentral:rRNA from 1 species
AACGAACGCUGGCGGCAUGCCUAACACAUGCAAGUCGAACGAAGCCUUCGGGCUUAGUGGCGCACGGGUGCGUAACGCGUGGGAAUCUGCCCCUUGCUUCGGAAUAACAGUUAGAAAUGACUGCUAAUACCGGAUGAAGUCUUCGGACCAAAGAUUUAUCGGCAAGGGAUGAGCCCGCGUAGGAUUAGGUAGUUGGUGGGGUAAAGGCCUACCAAGCCGACGAUCCUUAGCUGGUCUGAGAGGAUGAUCAGCCACACUGGGACUGAGACACGGCCCAGACUCCUACGGGAGGCAGCAGUGGGGAAUAUUGGACAAUGGACGCAAGUCAGAUCCAGCAAUGCCGCGUGAGUGAUGAAGGCCUUAGGGUUGUAAAGCUCUUUUACCAGGGAUGAUAAUGACAGUACCUGGAGAAUAAGCGCCGGCUAACUCCGUG